rnacentral:RNase_P_RNA from 1 species
CGACCAGAUUGAACAGCCGCGGCUGCAAGCUGAAAAGCUGCAGGUGAGGAAAGUCCGGGCUCCACAGGGCAAGGAUAACAGGUAACGCCUGCCGGGGGCGACCCCAGGACAAGUGCAACAGAGAGAUGUAGCCGAUUUCGGUCAUAGUGAAAAGGUGUGGUAAGAGCGCACCCGCCCCAUGGGAACAUCGGGGUGCUGUAAACUCUAUCCGGAGCAACGCCGUGGAGGGACCGCAGAUGCCAGUUGGGUGUUUGUGUAAAGAUUUGCCCGAUCGUCCCGAGGAGGUGGCUUGAUCCCGUGAGCGAUCGCGGGGCUAGAUAGAUGGCUGUUAAAACAGAACCCGGCUUACAGAUCUGUGUCGCAAA